rnacentral:rRNA from 1 species
UACUACUUUCAUGUUGGAACACAGAAAGUCGGAAACGGUCCGCCGCCGGAGGACGUGACUGCGGUUGAUUAGGUAGAUGGUGGGGUAACGGCCCACCAUGCCGAUAAUCGGUUACGGGUUUGUGAGGAGCAAGGAACCGGGACGAAUCUGAGACCAAAGAAUACCGGUCCUACGGGGCGCAGCAGGCGCGAAACCCUUUACACUGCACGCCAGUGCGAUAAGGGGACCCGAGUGCGAGGGCAUACAGUCCUCGCUUUUCGUGACCGUAAGGUGGUCACAGAAUAAGAGCUGGGCAAGACCGGUGCCAGCCGCCGCGGUAAUACCGGCAGCUCGAGUGAUAGCCACUUUUAUUGGGCCUAAAGCGUCCGUAGCCGGCCGAACAGGUCCGUCGGGAAAUCCACUCGCUCAACGAGUGGACGUCCGGCGGAAACCAGUCGGCUUGGGGCCGGGAGACCAGAGAGGUACGUCCGGGGUAGGAGUGAAAUCCUGUAAUCCUGGACGGACCGCCGGUAGCGAAAGCGUCUCUGGAGAACGGACCCGACGGUGAGGGACGAAAGCUUGGGUCUCGAACCGGAUUAGAUACCCGGGUAGUCCAAGCCGUAAACGAUGCUCGCUAGGUGUGGCGUUGGCUACGAGCCAGCGCUGUGCCGUAGGGAAGCCGAGAAGCGAGCCGCCUGGGAAGUACGUCCGCAAGGAUGAAACUUAAAGGAAUUGGCGGGGGAGCACUACAACCGGAGGAGCCUGCGGUUUAAUUGGACUCAACGCCGGACAUCUCACCGGCACCGACAGUGUGCAGUGACAGUCAGUCUGAUGGGCUUACUUGAGCCACUGAGAGGAGGUGCAUGGCCGCCGUCAGCUCGUACCGUGAGGCGUCCUGUUAAGUCAGGCAACGAGCGAGACCCGCGUCCCUAAUUGCCAGCAGCAGCCUUGUGCUGGCUGGGUACAUUAGGGAGACUGCCGUCGCUAAGACGGAGGAAGGAACGGGCAACGGUAGGUCAGUAUGCCCCGAAUGUGCCGGGCGACACGCGGGCUACAAUGGCCGAGACAGUGGGACGCUACCCCGAGAGGGGACGCUAAUCUCCUAACCUCGGUCGUAGUUCGGAUUGCGGGUUGAAACCCACCCGCAUGAAGCUGGAUUCGGUAGUAA